rnacentral:rRNA from 1 species
CAGUCGCCGCGGGAAUACGAAGGGGGCUAGCGUUGUUCGGAUUUACUGGGCGUAAAGGGCGCGUAGGCGGGCUGAUAAGUCAGGGGUGAAAUCCCAAGGCUCAACCUUGGAACUGCCUUUGAUACUGUUUGUCUUGAGUUCGAGAGAGGUAAGUGGAACUGCGAGUGUAGAGGUGAAAUUCGUAGAUAUUCGCAAGAACACCAGUGGCGAAGGCGGCUUACUGGCUCGAAACUGACGCUGAGGCGCGAAAGCGUGGGGAGCAAACAGGAUUAGAUACCCCUGUAGUCCCUGUCUCUUAUAC